GCAUUACACCUCAUUCAUCACUAGGAAUUUCAAUCAUGCUUUCCACUUCAUCUCACACACUCUCUUCGUUCCAUCACCCCAAACAAAGUUCAAGAGCAGAGCAACCAAGCAAACUCAGCAGCCAACCAUUUCAGAAAUUGAAGUGAAAUUCUAAAGGCUUUGUGACCAGGGGGAUUAGCGCUGUUUUCCCAAGACAGGUUUUUAUGUGUAUGAUCUUCAGGCUUUGCCUAUCCAGGUGGGCAUUACUUUCCAAAUGUACAAAGUAUGAUUGAGUUAUUAAGCUCUAAAUGUUUCAAUGAAAUGCAAAUUGUUUAUUUAAUGUAAUGAAAACUGUUUAUCCAAUAAAAUGUUUAUGUGCACUCUGCUCUGUUUAAGGCUCGCGCAGUUAAUCAAUUGAGGUUCUCUUAUGACCUAAUACGUUGUUUGAGAAUUGUGUACACUUGUUAGUUGACUCGGUGGGUUGAUCUCCAUCGGGCUCUAACCAGAGGCGUUAUAAGGGUGCUCGGCUGGAUGUGUUCCGGAGCAUGAGAAAUAUCAGGCCUGCCUGGGUAGCGUCCCGAGGUCAAAGUAAACUUGUCUGGGUUACGCCCUCAGUUCAAGUAAGCGGGAGACAGAGAUCCGUCGGUGGCUAGAGGUCCGGGAUCACAGCGAGUAACAGAAAGGGAGUGUGACAUGUGCGCACAAAUGAAAGAAAAUGUUUUAACAUGCUUAGAAGUUAUUUCAAUUUAAAACCUUCUAAGUCAUGUCCAGUAUGAUUGGAUAAACUGUCUUUAUUAAAAUAUGAGAUGUUUCAGAAAAUGCAUGCCCACUAAGUACAUUAGUACUUAGCCCAAAAAUACUUUCAAAUGUUUUCAGGUUGGCUGGUCGGUGCUGACGGGACGGAGCUGAGGCUAGAGAUAAAUUCCUAUGUUAGACUUCCGCUGUAGCAAUUACUCAUAUCAGUCUUUUGUUUUUCCCAACUUAAGAUCUUCAUGUUAAAUUUCAAAUGAUAUAUUUGACCGAGCUUAGACUCUUCACUACUAAAUUUAUGCUAAUGAAUGUCAGUUGUCAGAAGCAUGAAACAAAA